GGAGAAAAUGGAACUGAGAUAUAAUUGCAGAUUUGGCCAGGAAUGCGGCUAAUAAAUGGGCAACCUCUGGACUCACAAAGAGUCAUCCUUCAGCACUCAGGAGAGGAAAAACCCCCUGUGGAGGAAACCUCUGGGGAACCAUGGCUGGAAGGACUGCCCUUCCCUCUGGGCAUUAAGAGGUGAAUAGUUCCCAUAUUUACUAUAAUAGUUUUCCUGAUUAAAACCAUGGCUGCAUUAACUUAUGAGUAACUUCUCUCACAGUAAUGGAAGUGUAACAGUAUAAAUAUCAUUACCCACUCAGUAAGUGUAAGAUCUUUAAGAAAAGAAGGCCAUUUGGGAUUACGUUUGAGAUUCCUCCACUAUAUCUGUCCAGACAGAGGAUGGUACUCGAGAGGCUUCUGGUUGACAGCCUCUUAGGCAUCAGUCCCAUUGGGUGUUAUCGGUUACGUGUAUGAUACAGUGCAUGAGAGAAAAACAGAUCUAAAAU